AUUGAACGCUGGCGGCAGGCCUAACACAUGCAAGUCGAGCGGCAGCGACUCAACUGAACCUUCGGGGAACGUUAAGGGCGGCGAGCGGCGGACGGGUGAGUAAUGCCUGGGAAUAUGCCCUGAUGUGGGGGAUAACUAUUGGAAACGAUAGCUAAUACCGCAUAAUCUCUUCGGAGCAAAGAGGGGGACCUUCGGGCCUCUCGCGUCAGGAUUAGCCCAGGUGGGAUUAGCUUGUUGGUGAGGUAAUGGCUCACCAAGGCAACGAUCCCUAGCUGGUCUGAGAGGAUGAUCAGCCACACUGGAACUGAGACACGGUCCAGACUCCUACGGGAGGCAGCAGUGGGGAAUAUUGCACAAUGGGGGAAACCCUGAUGCAGCCAUGCCGCGUGUGUGAAGAAGGCCUUCGGGUUGUAAAGCACUUUCAGUAGGGAGGAAGGUAGUGUAGUUAACACCUGCAUUAUUUGACGUUACCUACAGAAGAAGCACCGGCUAACUCCGUGCCAGCAGCCGCGGUAAUACGGAGGGUGCGAGCGUUAAUCGGAAUUACUGGGCGUAAAGCGCAUGCAGGCGGCCUGUUAAGUCAGAUGUGAAAGCCCGGGGCUUAACCUCGGAAUUGCAUUUGAAACUGGCAGGCUAGAGUCUUGUAGAGGGGGGUAGAAUUUCAGGUGUAGCGGUGAAAUGCGUAGAGAUCUGAAGGAAUACCAGUGGCGAAGGCGGCCCCCUGGACAAAGACUGACGCUCAGAUGCGAAAGCGUGGGGAGCAAACAGG
rnacentral:rRNA from 1 species